GAGUUUUUCGACGCGCCGCAGCGUCGAUGCUACGAUCGGGAUUCAAGCAGCAGUGGGCGCUUUUCGAGGAGGAGUCAGCUGAUUCGUUGGUAGGAAUAACGAGGAUUUCUUUUGUUCUUUUUGACGGAAAGAUUGUUUAUAGGAAUCCUUGGGAGCCCAUACUGAUCAGCGCACGUUAGCUUCUAGGGAAGCGCGUGGCACAGAGCUUCGUGGAUACGGCACGAGACCGCUCGGGAGUAGAUUUCGAAGGUUGCGUUUCAUUAUCAGGAAUCGCAAUCUAAUGGAAGACAGCGCACUUUAUGUAUGCAUGAAAUAAGUUCAGUAUGCAACGAAUCAUUGUCUUGCAACAGAGUGAGCACUGGAGGCGCCUCCCAAAGAGACCCUGGGUGCUCUGAAAGCGCUUCGACAAUACGUCAGCGUUGGAAAAGACCUGAUUUCGGAAACAGAUAAGAGAAGCAGAACCUUCGCAUAUGUUUCGCAGGCCGAUGAUGUAUCAGCGUUGGCAAAAAGACCUGAUUUCGGAAACAGAUAAGAGAAGCAGAACCUUCGCAUAUGUUUCGCAGGCCGAUGAUGUAUCAGCGUUGGCAAAAAGACCUGAUUUCGGAAACAGAUAAGAGAAGCAGAACCUUCGCAUAUGUUUCGCAGGCCGAUGAUGUAUCAGCGUUGGCAAAAAGACCUGAUUUCGGAAACAGAUAAGAGAAGCAGAACCUUCGCAUAUGUUUCGCAGGCCGAUGAUGUAUCAGCGUUGGCAAAAAGACCUGAUUUCGGAAACAGAUAAGAGAAGCAGAACCUUCGCAUAUGUUUCGCAGGCCGAUGAUGUAUCAGCGUUGGCAAAAAGACCUGAUUUCGGAAACAGAUAAGAGAAGCAGAACCUUCGCAUAUGUUUCGCAGGCCGAUGAUGUAUCAGCGUUGGCAAAAAGACCUGAUUUCGGAAACAGAUAAGAGAAGCAGAACCUUCGCAUAUGUUUCGCAGGCGUAUUGCGGUGAGCCGUUCUAGUGAGUCCACGAGCGAUCAUGUCUUCCAACCCGAGAAUCAUCUCUAGAGUCCGGAUGGCUUUCUGGUGUGUGUCCUGGGUUCUCCAGUGGCACCGGAGAGCUCCCGUUCCGUCGAGGUGUCAUCGUCUGGCGGUGAUCACCAGCGCCCCUUGAACGUUUUCUCGCCAUUAACCGACGCUCACCAGCAUGUGGCUGCAUUAUUCGAGCUCCAUGUCAUACGUGAACCAUGAGGUUACCUGAAAGAGCGUCUUGAAAUCAGCCAGAGCUUCGUUAUCAAGAAAGAGGGAUACAUCGACAUGACCUGAUGGAAUGUGACAAGGUCCCGUGGGUAAACUAGG